ACCGUCUCCCGUGAGCGCCCACGGGAGGUCACGCCUUCUCUUUCGUUCGUCAGAAAUUCUGAGAGGAUUGCAAAAGGAAAAGCAGGACCCAGGUGAUGGGGCUGUGACAAAGGAGGAAUUUCAGGAGGAGAAAACAGUGGCUCAGAGAUUCAAGCUUAAUAUCCUGCUUUCAUAAAGUCAAAAUAGCACCAAAACAGAACUCAAAGAACACUGGACUGAACUCCAAAAAAAACCAUACAACUCUUCCCAGACCAUUACCUAUUCACACAGCAGCCUUGAUAAGAAGAAAAAAAUGACACACUAUCAAAUUUCCAUUUAUCCUAAAGCACUGUUCAGAUGACAUCAUAACAGUGUCUAACAAAGGGUGGAAAGUAAGUAACUCAGAAAUUUUCAAGAAAGUGAUUAGAAGAAAUUGCUGAUCUGCUGCCAUAGAUGGAUACAGAUGUCUGUUCCCAGAAGAAGCAGACCCAUCUGUGUACACUGCAGCUUCAUUGCUCUGGGACAGCUUCCUGCUGAAUGCAACACAGCUAAAUCUAGAGCA